rnacentral:rRNA from 1 species
CACGCCGUAAACGAUGGGUGCUAGGUGUCGCGGGCUUUGACCCCUGCGGUGCCGUAGCUAACGCAUUAAGCACCCCGCCUGGGAAGUACGGUCGCAAGACUAAAACUCAAAGGAAUUGACGGGGGCCCGCACAAGCGGUGGAGCAUGUGGUUUAAUUCGACGCAACGCGAAGAACCUUACCUGGGCUAGAAAGUGUAGGAACCCUGACGAAAGUUGGGGGUGCUCUUCGGAGAACCUAUAGUUAGGUGC